rnacentral:rRNA from 1 species
AGUGAACGCUGGCGGCAGGCCUAACACAUGCAAGUCGAACGAACCCUUCGGGGUUAGUGGCGGACGGGUGAGUAACACGUGGGAACGUGCCUUUAGGUUCGGAAUAACUCAGGGAAACUUGUGCUAAUACCGAAUGUGCCCUUCGGGGGAAAGAUUUAUCGCCUUUAGAGCGGCCCGCGUCUGAUUAGCUAGUUGGUGAGGUAAAGGCUCACCAAGGCUACGAUCAGUAGCUGGUCUGAGAGGAUGACCAGCCACAUUGGGACUGAGACACGGCCCAAACUCCUACGGGAGGCAGCAGUGGGGAAUCUUGCGCAAUGGGCGAAAGCCUGACGCAGCCAUGCCGCGUGGAUGAUGAAGGUCUUAGGAUUGUAAAAUCCUUUCACCGGUGAAGAUAAUGACUGUAGCCGGAGAAGAAGCCCCGGCUAACUCCGUGCCAGCAGCCGCCGUAAGAC